AACGAACGCUGGCGGCGUGCUUAACACAUGCAAGUCGAACGUGAAAGCUCUUCGGAGUGAGUAGAGUGGCGCACGGGUGAGUAAUACAUAGGAACGUACCUUUAGGUGGGGAACAACCACGGGAAACUGUGGCUAAUACCGCAUAUGGUCUACGGAUUAAAGAGGGCCUCUUUACAAUGCUCUCGCCAAAAGAUCGGCCUAUGUCCCAUUAGCUUGUUGGUAGGGUAAUGGCCUACCAAGGCGACGAUGGGUAGCUGGUCUGAGAGGAUGAUCAGCCACACUGGAACUGAGACACGGUCCAG
rnacentral:rRNA from 1 species